rnacentral:rRNA from 1 species
AUUGACCGCUGGCGGCAGGCUUAACACAUGCAAGUCGAACGAGUGGCGGACGGGUGAGUAAUGCUUGGGACUCUUGCUUAUGGCGGGGGAUAACUACGGGAAACUGUAUCUAAUACCGCGUACCAUACGAUGAGCCCAAGUGGGAUGAGGUAGUUGGUGAGGUAAAGGCUCACCAAGCGGACGAUCUCUAGCUGGUCUGAGAGGAUGACCAGCCACACUGGGACUGAGACACGGCCCAGACUGCUACGGGAGGCAGCAGUGGGGAAUAGUGCGGAAGGGGGGCAACCUGACGCAGCCAUGCCGCGUGAAUGAAGAAGGCCUUCGGGUUGUAAAGUAAUUUCAGCGGGGAGGCGUUACCGACAGGAGAAGCACCGGCUAACUCCGUGCCAGCAGCCGCGGUAAUUC